AGCUUUAUUGGGGCAAAAGCAGCAAUGUUUCUACCCUGGCUUGAUAAAGACCAUGUAAGGUCGAAACAUUGCUGCUUUUGCCCCAAUAAAGCU